rnacentral:rRNA from 1 species
UACGUAGGUGGCAAGCGUUGUUCGGAAUUAUUGGGCGUAAAGGGCGCGUAGGCGGUUUGUUAAGUCGGUUGUGAAAGCCCGGGGCUCAACCCCGGAGAGUCGACCGAUACUGGCAGACUAGAGUACGGAAGAGGUAACUGGAAUUCCCGGUGUAGCGGUGAAAUGCGCAGAUAUCGGGAGGAACACCGGUGGCGAAGGCGGUUCUCUGGGCCUGUACUGACGCUGAGGAGCGAAAGCGUGGGGAGCGAACAGG